AAAGUAGGAUGCACACUAAUAUGCAAUAACAGGCAGUUUAAAAUGAUUUAUUUUAUAAAUUUCUGUGAUUUACAUUUCAGCAUUUCAUCAAUUGCAAAAGUAAGUAAAUAAUUCAUGGGCUGUAGCACUUUUGAAAAUAAUAUUUAUGAUUCAUAAAAAUGUACAUUCAUAUAGUAUGAAAUGAACAUAUUUUAAGAAAAUUCAAGCGUAUACAAGCAUUGUUUAAUCUCACAAAAUAUAUUAAUUUUGUUGGGAAUAUUUGCUACAAAAGGGUCUUGAAUUUACUGAAGGAUUCAACACUAAGCUAUUUUUUAAGUUGUAAUUACUUUUUCCAGUCUAAAGAGGGUUAAGACUCAUGGCCUACAACUAUAUGGAUGAUGAGACAUGGCCUUCUAGAGGGAUGUUCUUGAGAAGAUGCUUUAGUUGUCUAUUACAGAAGACUUCUGAACGGAAUCCAGUCAAAUAUAAACGAAACUUAAAUAUGAGGGUCAGUCCUCAUUGGCAUACAGCUUUUUUUUCCCCCCUUAAACACUCAUUCACUCUGGAAAACAUGUUAUAAUGAUGAAUAGUUGCUAUGAAUCUUUCAAAGAGCUUGGAAGAGUCCCUAUAAUUAUUUCCUGAACAGUGGAAUUCUCUUAUGGAGAAAUCUUCCAGUGAAGGAAAAGAUGAAUUAAAAACACUUGUAUUUAACUUAGGUCAAUAUAUUUUUCAAGGCAAGAGGCAAGUUGCUUUUCCCCCGGUUUGAGGCUAUGAGAAAGUGGUGGCUACAUGCUUUAGUGUUCAGCCAGAGAACACACACUGUCAUUUCCGGGAGGAUGAACGGCAGUACAGCUGGACUCUAGCCUUAUAGAGUUAAACCUAUUUCUUUCUUCCCAAUCCUACCUCUUUCAUUCUUCCCAGACUUCCAGCUGACCGGAUGUAUAUUUAAGUUAUUUGCAUGGCUAAGUAAAACAUUCCAACUUAUAUUUUCAAGGUUUUUAAGUAGUUGUUCCUUUAAGACAAAACAGUAAAUCAAAUUAUUAGAACUUAAAAUGCAGUGCUAAUUUUAUUUCUAUUUUUGGUUGUUAAAAU